ensembl:lncRNA
GCCAGGGAUUCUAUGUGGGCUAAAUGUGAGGGGGACUUUAGGAUAUCUUCAAUUAUGAAAUCCCCUCCAUCAAUGUCAAUCUGGACAGCCUCAUCGAUGAGUUCAGCGGCGCCCCCUGCAGGCGGUCCAUGGCAGUGACAGACUCUCCAGAAGGGGAUGAGGAGGAGCCCCAGAGUACCACUCUAUGACACUAAGGCACCACAGCUUUCAGCGCCUCUAAUCCUGUACACACUGCUUACUAUGGCGACCAAGGUCUGAUGGAAAACAGUUGGCCUCACCUAUGCCCACCUGAGCCCUGCCUAACCUGUUGCACAUCAGCUAGACAGCAAAGAGCCAAUAUUAUAGUUAAUUAUCCACAUGCAUGACUACAAAACAAACACAAAUGCCAUUGUGGAGGAACAGUUGCCUUUUAUUGGAAAGACUGGAUUACCGACCAGUAUUUGAAUAAUUUAACCACUUUGCUUCAGUUCAUUAUUUCGGUGCCCAAGAGUGAUCUGCCUUUUCGUACGUUUUUAUGUUUGCCUUAUCAAAACGUGCUUUUGAAUGGUCACAUGUGAAAGAUUUUCCUUUGAGAUCACUAAAUGUUUAGGCCUACAGGGUGAGUGUUACAGUGGAUAGUGGUCAGUGUUUGCUCACAGGGUAUACAAGCUUUGUGCACAUCUCACUAAGACCCAAAGAUGGUCCCAGGUGGUUACAUUUUACUAUUAAGUGUACCUUGCUUCAAUUGCAAAGUUUAUUUACAUUACCCUACACAUUAUUUAUACCUAAAAUCACCACCUACCAGCACAUUAUAAAAGAAUGUUAUUGUGAACUUUGAACUGUUACUCUCUAAAUAGACAACAGAAACAUUGCACAUGAAGCCUAAACUCUCGGUGCCAAGGGGCUCAAAAUGGCAGUGUCAGAUUCUCUUUGCAGAAAACGCCCAUGUUUCAGACUGGUGAUCUAGGACACCACUGCCUUUAGGUUUGUAUAAAUCUUUAUCUUGUUUUAAGUGCUUCAGGUUGAGUGACCUUUGACCCCGAGUGUAAAUACAAAAAUAUGUACAUAACUUGAUGUAUAUAAAUCUGAGAUGAAGAGUCUAUGACUAACUGGAAUAUAUGAUAAUAUAUGUGCUGAUAUUUAUCAUGUGUGGAAAAUAUAUUGAUAAAAUAAUCACAUUAUUUUUGGUCCUGCACAGACUCAGUAUUUGUGACGUUUCACUUAAAUAACCAGGUUACAAAGAUGCUGCAGCAAUCACAGAGACACUUCAUCGGAAAUUUCUUUUUUUUUCAGUCAUGCAAUUUCCAACAUUAUCUCUUGAGUGUAAAAGUUCUUGAUAGAUAAUCAGAACAUUUUGACAUGUUGAGG